rnacentral:rRNA from 1 species
UACGGAGGGUGCGAGCGUUGUCCGGAAUCACUGGGCGUAAAGGGCGCGCAGGCGGCUCAUUUUGUCAGGCGUGAAAGCCCCGGGCUUAACCUGGGAACUGCGUUUGAUACGGAUGGGCUAGAGUUCGGGAGAGGAGAGUGGAAUUCCCAGUGUAGAGGUGAAAUUCGUAGAUAUUGGGAAGAACACCGGUGGCGAAGGCGGCUCUCUGGACCGAUACUGACGCUGAGGCGCGAAAGCGUGGGGAGCAAACAGG